UUUCCCUGAUGAAGGUAAAAAAGACAAGCAUAUGGCUGAUGGCAUAGUGAUGUCACUUUACUUCUGAGAAA
rnacentral:snoRNA from 1 species